ACGUCGUUGCUGAUUUCGCUUUCACAUUGCUGAUCUUUUUCUCUCUUUAUUUCCGAUGUUUUGCUAACAUACACGCUUGAUUACAAUUUCAUCAAACAAACUCCCUAAUGAUUUUUAAAAUUAUUUCAUUUUACCUUUUAGUAUCCAAAUACCAUAAAUUUGGAAUGUGAUGUUGUUGAUGUCUCCUUCCUUUGCUUUGUAGCUGAGGCCCGUGCCUUCAUGCGUUCCAAGCCUUACAAAGUACAUAUAUAUGUUUACAAAGACUCUAUCAUACAAUUGGGGUGGUAGUGACUAGUGAGCAACAAUUUAUGUCAUAUGGAUUGAGAGAAAUCCUCGUUUGCACCGCAAUUAUGUAAUGAACGAUCAAAUUUGGAUUUGGAUA